rnacentral:rRNA from 1 species
GACGGGGGGUCCUAGCGUUGUUCGGAAUCAUUGGGCGUAAAGCGUGUGCAGGUGGCUCUGUAAGUUAGAUGUGAAAGCCUUGGGCUUAACCCAAGAAGUGCAUUUAAAACUACAAAGCUUGAGUAUGGAAGAGGGUCGUGGAAUUCCAGGUGUAGUGGUGAAAUACGUAGAUAUCUGGAGGAACACCGGUGGCGAAGGCGGCGACCUGGUCCUAUACUGACACUCAUACACGAAAGCGUGGGGAUCAAACAGG